rnacentral:lncRNA from 1 species
AUGAGCCAAGCUAGGAGUCAGGUGCCCUGGGCCUGCACCCACACUGGGCUGAGAGAUCACAGCCAGAGCAGAGGCAGACCCCGGGCAGCUUCCUCAACGGCAGGAGAGAACAAGGAAGGCAGAGCAGGGCUGAGGCACCAAAGGACAGCGCACUUGAGGACCUGCUGCCCCUGCUCAGGUCCCAGUAUCUGGGCUCCUAUCUUUGGAAGAAAAUGAAGGAAGAUGACAGCAGGGUCAGAUAUGUGCUUUGGGAAGAUGGUUCUGGAAGCUAUGUGGAAAACAGAUUGGAAGUGUGUAUAAGCUCAGGCAGUUGGAGGCUGCUACAGGAAACAGAGAAGAGAGAUGGCGUGGUCGUUCUCCAAUGAACCAUGCCUUCCUGUGUUCACACCUGUCACAUGACAUUGCCACUCCUCCUAUGAAGAGAUUUUUAUCCUUUGCACCUUUGAAUUGGACCUAGCCUUGGGACAGGGUUUCAUCAGUACAAUGCAGCAGCCCUAAUGUGACCUUCAAGCCUUAAGAGGCCAUGCAGCUUCCUGUUCUCCCUCUCAGAACUCGGAGAGCACCGUGCUGCACAGAAGUCAGGCAAGCCUACUGGAUGAUGAGAGACAAGGUGGGAAACUGAGGCACCCCACUCAGAUAGCCAUUCCAGCAACUCCCUGACUGCAACUGUGUGAGUGAACCCAGUUCACUGAGACCAGCCCAAGAACCACCUGUCAGAAUAAGAGAUGAGUGUUGUUUAAAGUCACUAAGUUUUGGGUAGGUGUGUGAAGGUACUGGAAAUAGUGCAGAUAACAGAAAUAGUGCAUGCUCUGCACUCGGGUGUUAGUGGCAUUCAUUCAUUGAGCAAAGAUUUUUGAGCACCUGUUUCAGGGUAGGCUCUACUGUAGGCACUAGAACACUGCAAGUGAACCAAACAAACACAUGGAGCCUGUAUUUAGUGGGGGUGGACUGGAGAGGGGGCAAGUUUGGGAAAUGUUUAGGGCCUCGUGAAUGAAAAUAGAGAGCACAGGAGAGGGCAGUACAGGAUGGCUUCUCAGGCUUCCAGUGUGGGUGGUGAGGGCAACGUUGGGCCAUCGAGAAGGAGCAAAGCAGACUAGGGGUUGUCCAGUUUGGGACACAUGGGCACCUAUGGAACAAAGAGAUGGCAGAUGUGAGGAGGUGUCUGAAGCUCAGGAGAGCUGUUGAGAUCAAUAUUUUGGCGUCGUUUUGUCCUGCACAAUUUAGCAGGUAUUUAUUGAGUGACAAUCAUAUGUCAAUCAUC